rnacentral:rRNA from 1 species
AGCGAACGCUGGCGGCAGGCCUAACACAUGCAAGUCGAACGAAGUCUUCGGACUUAGUGGCGGACGGGUGAGUAACACGUGGGAACGUGCCUUUAGGUUCGGAAUAACUCAGGGAAACUUGUGCUAAUACCGAAUGUGCCCUUCGGGGGAAGGAUUUAUCGCCUUUAGAGCGGCCCGCGUCUGAUUAGCUAGUUGGUGAGGUAAAGGCUCACCAAGGCGACGAUCAGUAGCUGGUCUGAGAGGAUGAUCGGCCACAUUGGGACUGAGACACGGCCCAAACUCCUACGGGAGGCAGCAGUGGGGAAUCUUGCGCAAUGGGCGAAAGCCUGACGCAGCCAUGCCGCGUGAAUGAUGAAGGUCUUAGGAUUGUAAAAUUCUUUCACCGGGGACGAUAAUGACGGUACCCGGAGAAGAAGCCCCGGCUAACUUCGUGCCAGCAGCCGCCGUAAUAC